AUUGAACGCUGGCGGCAUGCUUUACACAUGCAAGUCGAACGGUAACAGGCCGCAAGGUGCUGACGAGUGGCGAACGGGUGAGUAAUGCAUCGGAACGUGCCCAGUCGUGGGGGAUAACUGCUCGAAAGAGCAGCUAAUACCGCAUACGAUCUAUGGAUGAAAGCGGGGGACCGUAAGGCCUCGCGCGAUUGGAGCGGCCGAUGUCAGAUUAGGUAGUUGGUGGGGUAAAGGCUCACCAAGCCAACGAUCUGUAGCUGGUCUGAGAGGACGACCAGCCACACUGGGACUGAGACACGGCCCAGACUCCUACGGGAGGCAGCAGUGGGGAAUUUUGGACAAUGGGGGCAACCCUGAUCCAGCAAUGCCGCGUGCAGGAAGAAGGCCUUCGGGUUGUAAACUGCUUUUGUACGGAACGAAACGGUCCUGGUUAAUACCCGGGGCUAAUGACGGUACCGUAAGAAUAAGCACCGGCUAACUACGUGCCAGCCGCCGCCGUAACAC
rnacentral:rRNA from 1 species